ensembl:lncRNA novel transcript
AAAAUUCUGGCACCUAUCCACAGCCUGAACCUUGGAGAACACCUCCCUUUCAUAUGACUUCUGCAAAGGGCGUGUUUCAGCUCACAGGGACAAAGAGUCACUGCACCAGAGAACCAGAAAGAGUUACAGACACGGCUCACAGGCUUAAGCGUCUUGCUGUAGGUCAUACGGCAGGUUAAUGACAACACUGGGGCAAGAACACAGGUUACGCUCGUCCUGGGGAAGGCUCCCACACCAAGCUACACACUUCUGCAAUGCUGUUCCAGAUGUGAAAAUCCGCUAAGACAAAUAGGUCACAAAAACACCAUGGGAAACGAUGAUGUCUUUUCCUUUUUGUUAUCUUGAUAAAGCUUCAUACAUGAAUGAUAAAAUGGAAAUUUCAGUUGAGGAACUAAUAAAUCAACAGAUGUCUUACUCCACAACGAGGUGCAAGAUCUUGAGGCUGGAUUUAGAAAGAGGAAGAGAAGACCAAUUGCACAGCUCAUCACCCCUCACCCAUCUGAUGAUAUGAAAGGUUUGAAGGAAGCCAGAGCUGGAGCAAGAUUUUCCUCAGAUGAGUUUUGAUGAACUACAAAGAAUGAAGAUGCUCUCCCUUGUCAUCCCCAGUCAAAGAAAAGGCACUUUAAAGAAAUCACUCACGAGCCAGAUAUUGUGGUUGUAUUUUGGUGGACACAGUGAAGUCACGUCUGGCUCGCUCCGCAAAUACUGGGAGGGUGAGAAGUGGGAGGCAGCCGUGGGACCGCUGAGUGGAGGAGGCUGACCUUUGAGGAAGCACGUGGGAUUUUUCCCCGCGGAACAGACGUGAGCCAUGAACACGGGAGCAAAAGUGUGCUAGAGUAACUCCCGUCAAAGAGAGACCCUUACUAGGGCAAGAAGACCUUGAUCAAAGCAUACCCAGAUGCCGAGGUUCUGAGGAAGGAAAUAAGUGACCACCAGGCAUGGUGCUCUGAUUAUUAAGCUAGUUUCUCAGCUCCAAACUCAACCUUCACUGCUUAGCCUUGUCACGGUGGGAAGGCUGGGAGAGGCCAAACCACCUUUCCCCUUUGCCAGGGCUCCCUGAUCAGUUCUGCCUAUGUGCUACUAAGGGAAACAGUAAGGCUGGAGGAGGGAAAGGGGACACCACCCUUCUCUUUGCGCACUGCUUAUGCCAGCAGCAUCCGAGCAAUACCGCUUGCCCUGUAGUGCUUCUUGAGUCGGAUUUCAGUUCAGUGUCUGGGUUUUUUAACAUUUCUAUAACCAUUCUCCCUCCUCAAUAGCACUCCCACAUCAGAAGCUGAGUCCCAGCUCCCUGACUUCUCCAGAUCCUAGAACUAUCAGCACCAGCAGCAGCACACAUUCCAUUCCUGUGGGGCUUGGCUCUGUGAGGCUCCUCUCAGCUCCCAGAUUCUCCCAACACAACUUCUUUCCUUUGUUCCCCCAGACUUCGAGCAGGUCAUUUCUUGCUAUGCCUGUCUAACCCCUUCCCUAAAUUCAAUUCUCUCUGUUAAGAUAACCAGUAUGUUUCUGCUUUCCAGUCUGGAUUCUGAUUGAUACACAAAAGCUGCAUUCCCACAUCAAGGGAACUCCGAGUGUUCACCCUCCGUGGUAAGGGGAGACUGGGAGACCCCACAAAAGCAUCCCAAGAGAGGAAGAGUCCCUUUACACACCUGCUGCCCCGUGUGUGGAUGCCCACUGAGCACGGAAGUUGUCAAGGACAAAAGGAGGAACUAGCCCACCAAGCAGGUUUAAAGGGAGUGUCGGACACAAAAAUGACAUGCCCCAUAUUGCAGUCUAGAAGGAACAACACGGUGAAUUGUCUACUGCAGAACACUUCACUCUGUCUCGAUUACUACAUGGUGAAUUGAAGUUCCAGUAGAGAGGGAGUUGAGCUGAUACUGAGGAGAUAAAUACCCAUCACUGUAUACAUCUACUUCUUGGAAUUUGCAAGGGAACCAGUCAACAGAUUUUUCAAGCCUUAUAAGUUUAUCUGCCUGAGAAGUUCACCAGCUACAUAACAUCCUGGACUCUGGAGCCCAAGAGAUGUGUAGUUUCCAUUUUGGAGCCAUUUUCUUUGAUAAAUAAGUAGUGAGGCUGCCAUUCUUGUCAAAGUUGAGGACCACAACCUUACUCAUGAAACUGAAAGAUUGUUUGUUAUGAGGAGUUCUGUUUGAGCCAUACAAGCAAUAUAUCCUUUUUAAAGAAAUGUAUCCGGAAUCUUAGGUGUUCAUUGCUCCAAGCCAUGUGCAGAAUAAAAAGAAAACAAAAAACAAAAAA